rnacentral:rRNA from 1 species
GCACUUCGGGAUAAGCCUGGGAAACUGGGUCUAAUACCGAAUAGGACCAUUUAGCGCAUGCUUUAUGGUGGAAAGCUUUUUCGGUGUGGGAUGGGCCCGCGGCCUAUCAGCCUGUUGGUGGGGUGACGGCCUACCAAGGCGACGACGGGUAGCCGGCCUGAGAGGGUGUCCGGCCACACUGGGACUGAGAUACGGCCCAGACUCCUACGGGAGGCAGCAGUGGGGAAUAUUGCACAAUGGGCGCAAGCCUGAUGCAGCGACGCCGCGUGGGGGAUGACGGCCUUCGGGUUGUAAACCUCUUUCAGCAGGGACGAAGCGCAAGUGACGGUACCUGCAGAAGAAGCACCGGCCAACUACGUGCCAGCAGCCGCGGUAAUACGUAGGGCGCGAGCGUUGUCCGGAAUUACAGGGCGUAAAGAGCUCGUAGGUGGUUUGUCGCGUUGUUCGUGAAAUCUCACGGCUUAACUGUGAGCGUGCGGGCGAUACGGGCAGACUGGAGUACUGCAGGGGAGACUGGAAUUCCUGGUGUAGCGGUGGAAUGCGCAGAUAUCAGGAGGAACACCGGUGGCGAAGGCGGGUCUCUGGGCAGUAACUGACGCUGAGGAGCGAAAGCGUGGGGAGCGAACAGGAUUAGAUACCCUGGUAGUCCACGCCGUAAACGGUGGGUACUAGGUGUGGGUUUCCUU